GUCCCAAACAAGUUCUCUUCAACCUAAACUCUUCACCGCCACACUUGCUCUUCCACCCAUUCCAUCAUGUUACUCCAAAGCAGCCUUUGAUGCAAAUUAGAGGAAAGCUAUGGCUGAAGAAAUAUCAGCACUUCUCAUGACUGGAACAUGGGAGCUAGUGCCUCGAAGUUAAGCCCAAAACAUAAUUGGUUAUUGUUGGGUCUAUAGAAUAAAGCAAAAAUAGGAUGGCUCUCUUGACCGCUAUAAGGCCCAUCUCAUGGCUAAAGGAUUUCACCAAUGUCCAGACAUUGAUUUUGUAGAGACUUUCUCACCUGUUGUCAAACCAACCACAAUUCGCAUCCUUCUUUCUCUUGUAGUCAAUUAUGAUUGGCCCAUUCAACAAAU
rnacentral:misc_RNA from 1 species